rnacentral:lncRNA from 10 species
CGGAGUCUUGCUCUGUCUCCCAGGCUGGAGUGCAGUGGCACAGUCUUGGCUCAUUGCAGCCUCCACCUCCUGGGUUCAGGCGAUUUUCCUGUCUCAGCCUCUGGAGCAGCUGGGAUUACAGAUUAGCACGUCUUGCCAGAACAGAGAUGCGGGCACCAGCUCAACAAUUGGUUUUCUGCCUGGAGGCCUCAGAUUCUCCUAAGCCAGGGCCCUUUAUGGUCAGUCCUGGCCCGGGAUUGUAUUAGAAGAAAGACUUCUGCAAUCAAAGUAAAAGCAAUUCGCUUUCUUUUUUUUUUUUUUAAAUAAAGCGACAGGGUCUUGCCCUGUUGCCUAGGGUGGAGUGCAGUGGCAUGAUCGUAGCUCACCACAGCCUCAAACUCCUGGGCUCAAGAGAUCCUCCUACCUCAGCCUCCCAAGUAGCUAGGACUAUUGGUGCACACCACCAUGCCCAUCUAAUUUUUUAUUUUUAUUUUUUUGUAGAGAUGGGGUCUCACUUUGUUUCCCAGGCUGGUCUUGAGUUCCUGGGCUCAAGUGAUCCUCUGCCUUUGUCCCUGAAAGUACUGGGAUUACAGGCCUGAGCCACCUCACCUGGUUGCAAUUCACAUUUUUACUGGUAUGUCCUGAAUAAUGUAAAAAAGGAUUUGUGAUGGUUAAUUUUAGGCAUCAACCCGACUGGGUUAAGGGAUACCCCAUUAGCUGGUGAAGCCUUAUUUCUGGGUAUGUCUGUGAGGGUGGAAGAGACGGGCAUUUGAACCAGUGGACUGAGUAAGGAAGAUUCACCCUCACCCGAAUGACUGAGGGUCUGGAUGAAACAACAAAGCAGAGGAGAGGAAAAUUCACUCCCCUGGAGCUGGGACACUCAUCUUCUCCUGCCCUUGGACAUCAGAACUCCAGGUUUUCUGGCCUCUGGACUCCAGGACUUGCACCAGUGAUCCGCCAGGUUGUCAGGCCUUUGGCCUCAAACUCAGAGAUACACCAUUGGCUACCCUGAUCUCAGGCCUUUGGACUUGGACUGAGCUAUGCCACUAGCUUCCCUAGCUCUUCAGCUUGCAGAUGACAUACCAUGAGGCUUCUCAGCCUCCAUAAUCAUGUGAGACAAUUUCCACAGUUAAUUUCC